GAGAGUGAAGCAGCAGCCUGCAGCUGUGUAAAAGAAAAAGAGAGGGGUUAAGGGAGAGAGCAGACAAAGAGACAGAUUGCAGGAAAAAACAGAAUUUCAGUUCCCUUCUACCUCUGCCACUCAUGAACCACAAGCUUUUGGUGUUUUCCUGUGUUGCAUGCUCUCAUACAGCCUUAGCGUCUUUCUAUCUCUUAGACGCGUCUAUGACUUUUUACUUCAAGGCCUAAAGCAGCUGUG